rnacentral:lncRNA from 1 species
GAACCAGUUAUAGUGAGUUUAAAGAUGAUACUAUUUUUUUUCAUUGAUUGAAAUCAAAUUACAAAAUAAAUAUUUUUGCCAUUUGGUAAAAAUAUCUUAAAAAUUUGAAUAAAAAAUUUUUAUAGAGUUAUAAAAAGCUAACCUUUAGCCUGUAUUGAUCUUGGCAAUGGUCUAAUGGCCUGCAUAGCAAUAAGAGAGCAGCAUUCUGUAGCAUAUUUUAAAAGAUUUACUAAUAUAGGAGCAAAGGAGAAAGCAGAAGAGUAAUUGGACAAAGUAUGGCUAUACUUACAAAUUCAUGCAUUCAAUAUAUAUAAACAUAUUAAAAAAAUUUAGAAGAGAAUAGGCUGAGUUGUUGUAAUACAUAACAAAGAACUGAGCAAAGUCAAGAAAUUAACCAACUGUUGGUACCAUAUUCAAUAGGCAGAAUGAAAACAAUAAGAAAGUGGCUAAGGUGCUGCAUAUGAAUUUAAUUUAUAAGAGAGACCUUACUAUAUUUGGCGUAUUAAAGAAUGACAAAGAUUUUUAUAGUGAAGAGAGAGAACAGACAUUUAUCAAUCCCCAUUUACAAUUUGAUUUAGGACAGAAGAAGAAAUAUGUGAGAAGGUUAUCAAAAGAAAAAGAUAGGCCAACUGAGCAUAAGAGUGAUAUAAUGGCAGGGAAAACAAAUACUAAACUAUUGAAAAAGAUUUUUUGAGUAUAAUUUAGAGAUAAAUUGGGAAGAUGCAAACACAAUGAGGCCAUCUGACAAGUCAGAAAGUAGAAUAAGGGAGUCCAUGGAAAUAAUACAAUAAGAAUAUAAGAAAAAUAUAAGAAUGUAAUAAAUGAACUGCUGAUAGAAGGUAUAGUAUGACUAUAAUAUAAAGAAC